UUAGAGCUGUGGGGUCCUCGCUGCUUGCUCAGUUCGUAUUUUUCCGAGCUGUGGGCUUCAAAAAGAAGUUGGAAGGCGAAAACCUCCUGCCAGUAAAGAGAUGACCAAGGGAAUAAUAAAAAACAUAUUUCUUGCCAAAGGUCACGGAACAGAAUUUUUUACUGAGACCGUUCGAGAAGUGCUUCAGUGCAGAGAUAUUUCCAGAAUGAGUCCUGUGAAACUUUCUGGUAAGAAUACAAAGGCUCAGGGAUGUGAAUCUUGCCGAUGGAAAGUGGGAGAGCUGGACUCAACUCCAGAGCGAGGUGGCUCCUAGUCUCCUUUUCACGCUGUGUCAAGCUGCCUCAGGAGCACCACCAGCAGCAUAUGUUUGUUCGUCUGUACACUGGCCAGUCUGAGGACCAGGGGACUGGUAUGUCUUCUGGAUGUAGAGUGACCAACUUCUCCUGGUUUUCCAGGGACUAUCCUGGUUUUAGCACUGAAAACUCCAAGUCCUAGGCAAACUGGGACAGUUGGCCGCCCUACCUGGAUGCCUCCCUGUCCUGGUCAUCACCUUCCCCAAACCAAGGACUUUCAUGGAUGGAGCUGGGAAUAUUACAGGGGGAUGGAGCAGAGAAGGGAGACGGGAACAAGGGGAGUCAAGCAUCUUAGACCCAACUUCACUCCCAUAAAGGGGCCCCA